rnacentral:hammerhead_ribozyme from 1 species
GCACUGCUGACGAGUCCCAAACAGGACCAAACAGCUGUUCAGUGC